GAUGAAGAACGUAGCGAAAUGCGAUACUUGGUGUGAAUUGCAGAAUCCCGUGAACCAUCGAGUCUUUGAACGCAAGUUGCGCCUCAAGCCAUUAGGUUGAGGGCACGUCUGCCUGGGCGUCACAUAUCGUUGCCUGAUGCCAGUUUCCUCGUGAUGGGUGACUGUGCAGGGCGAAUGAUGGCUUCCCGUGAGCAUUGUUGCCUCAUGGUUGGUUGAAAAUUGAGUCCUUGGUAGGGAGCGCCGUGAUAGAUGGUGGUUGAGUGACGAACGAGACCCAAUCAUGUGAGACCCCUACCGAAUUUGGCCUUCAUGACCCACAUGCGUCUUUGGAACGCUCAUGACGAGACCUCAGGUCAGGAGGGGCUACCCGCUGAGUUUAAGCAUAUCAAUAAGCGGAGGA
rnacentral:misc_RNA from 1 species